rnacentral:rRNA from 1 species
GAUGAACGCUGGCGGCGUGCCUAACACAUGCAAGUCGAGCGGAGCGGGCACGGGUGGGUAACACGUGGAUAACCUCCUAUAAGACUGGGAUACCUUCGGGAAACCGGAGCCAAACCGGCUACUCUUAGAUGUAUCAUCGGUGCAUUAGCUAGGUGGUAAGGUAACGGCUUACCAAGGCAACGAUGCAUAGCCGACCUUAGAGGAGGAUCAGCCUCACGGCAACUGAGAGACGGUCCAGACUCCUACGGGAGGCGGAAGUGGGGAAGCUACCGCAAUGGGUUAAAGCCUGACGGAGCAACGCCGCGUGAGUGAUGAGGGUCUGCGGAUCAUAAAACACUGUUAUCAGGGGAGCGUUGCAUAAUCAGAAAGCGACGGCUAACUAGGUGCCAGCAGCCGCGGUAAUAC